UAGUCAUAUGCUUGUCUCAAAGAUUAAGCCAUGCAUGUCUAAGUAUACGCAAAUUAUACUGUGAAACUGCGAAUGGCUCAUUAAAUCAGUUAUAGUUUAUUUGAUGUUUCUUGCUACAUGGAUAACUGUGGUAAUUCUAGAGCUAAUACAUGCGUAAAAAGCCCCGACUUCUGGAAGGGGUGUAUUUAUUAGAUAAAAACCAUCCUCCUCGGAGUUUGGUGAUUAAUAAUAACUUCUCGAAUCGCACGGCCUUGUGCUGGCGAUGCUUCAUUCAAAUAUCUGCCCUAUCAACUGUCGAUGGUAGGAUAGAGGCCUACCAUGGUUGCAACGGGUAACGGGGAAUAAGGGUUCGAUUCCGGAGAGGGAGCCUGAGAAACGGCUACCACAUCCAAGGAAGGCAGCAGGCGCGCAAAUUACCCAAUCCCGACACGGGGAGGUAGUGACAAUAAAUAGCAAUGCAGGGCCCUUUUGGGUCUUGUAAUUGGAAUGAGUACAAUUUAAAUCCCUUAAC
rnacentral:rRNA from 1 species